rnacentral:lncRNA from 1 species
AAAAACAUUUUUUCGCAACUCUAAUUUCGAAAAUUGUAUCAAAAAGGCUUUUAAAAUCGGCCCCGAGGCGUGAUACUUUCGGAAAAUUCUAAAUCUUCUGUUUUCAUUCCAAUUUCACCAUAAUCAUUUUUAAAUUACCUUUUACCUUUUCUAAGUCAAUAAAAAUAGUAUCUCAUACUAUUUUAUUUACACUUGAUUUUACUAAAAUAUCUUUCAAAAUUUGCAUUCUACAGAACUGCGUAUCGGUACUCGGGUUCACGUACUGGUACUCGGGCAUCCAGUUCCGGUACCCCGUGUCAUGCCCCGAGACCCGCCUCUUUGGUCGGAUUCGGGCACGCCAACAGACCGCCGAACGGACAGGGUUUUUCCUGUACCGCGAACAGAGCUUCCCAUGUAUGUCCAAGGCAUCGCAACAGUGCAAGUCACGAGGUUCCAACCAGGAACAAAUUCAUACAUGAUUGCAUAAGGAAAAUAUCAAAACAUAAAUACAACUAUACUAUUACAAGCAUUCGUCCCAGUUUUAGCAUUUUACAUACACAUUUACAUAUUACAUUCUUAAUUCCUUUUAGCUUUCAAAUACAAUCUAGCGUUUACAACUCAUUGCAAUUUUAUUCUUUCCUUUUGUCCCUAAGUUAAGCCGAUUCAGGGUACUACUAUCUCUGGUGUCGGUGGUAGGGCGCUAUCUACGGAGCUAUGCCCUUUCCUCGCGCCGCCGCGCCGCUCGCGUGUGAACCUGAACCCCCCAAAACCACGGAGGGUGAGAACUAUAUAAAUAUAGUUCUCACACUACUACAAAUUUAUGAUUUAGCGGCAUUUACUCCGCAGCAUUUAUUUAAAUAACGCUAAUUAAUAUAUUUAACAGCAUUACUUGAUAAGUGCCGGUAAAUUUAAUAAUUUAGCAGCAAUUUACUAUUAAUAUUGCAAAAUAAAAUAAAUUAGAAGCAUAAAUUAGUGAAUGCCACCGAUGUUUCCAGCAUUUUAUAAAAAAUGACACUAAAUGUAAUAAAGUAGAAGCACUUAUUGCUAAAUGCCGCAAUAUUUGCUCCGCAAUAUUUAUUUAAAUCAUACCAAUUAAUAUAUUUAGCAGCAUUACUUGAUAAUUACCACUAGAUUUAAUUAUUUAGCAGCAAUUUACUAUUAAUGUUGCAAAAUAGGAUAAAUUAGCAGCAUAAAUUAGUGAAUGCCGCUAAAUAUAAUAAACUAGCAGCGCUUGUUACUAAAUAUCAUUACUAAUUAAUAUACAAUUAUUAAUAUAUCCUUUUUUUAUUUAGAAUUAAAAAUUUUAAAAUUAAAGUUUAAAAAUUCGAAACAUAUAAUUUUAAAAAUUAAACUUAUAAUUUAAAAUUUAAAAGUUUAAAAUUUAUAUUUUAAAUUUUAAAAAUUUAAAUUAAUUUCAAAUUUCAAAUUUCAAAUUUAAAACUAUUAAUUUUGAAACUUAAAAUUUCAUAUUUUAAAAUUAAAAAUUUAAAUUUAGUAUCUAAAUUUAAAAUUUUAAAAUUUUAAAAUAGGAGACUUAAAACUUAAAAAAUUAAAAUAUCGCUAGCGCAAGUGGCAAAGGGCUUGAUGGUUGGUACUCGAGGUCUCAAGUUUGAAUCCUAGUUGAUUCACAUUUCCAGCAAAGUUUAUUUCAAAAAGAAAUAAACGAAGCGGGUAGCAUUUCAAAAAAAUAAAAAUUAAAAAUAAAAUUAAAUUUUUAAAAUUUCGGCAUUAUAUUUAUGUGCCACUAAUAAACAAUUUAAAAUUAGCAUUUAAUCCCUUUU